GUGCUCGCUUUGGCAUCACAUGUACUAAAAUUGGAACGAUACAGAGAUUAGCAUGGCCCAUGCGCAAGGAUGACACGCAAAUUCGUAAAGUGUUCCAUAUUUUU